GUGGGGAAUUUUGGACAAUGGGCGCAAGCCUGAUCCAGCCAUGCCGCGUGCAGGAUGAAGGCCUUCGGGUUGUAAACUGCUUUUGUACGGAACGAAAAGACUUCUUCUAAUACAGGAGGUCCAUGACGGUACCGUAAGAAUAAGCACCGGCUAACUACGUGCCAGCAGCCGCGGUAAUACGUAGGGUGCAAGCGUUAAUCGGAAUUACUUGGCGUAAAGCGUGCGCAGGCGGUUAUAUAAGACAGAUGUGAAAUCCCCGGGCUCAACCUGGGAACUGCAUUUGUGACUGUAUAGCUAGAGUACGGUAGAGGGGGAUGGAAUUCCGCGUGUAGCAGUGAAAUGCGUAGAUAUGCGGAGGAACACCGAUGGCGAAGGCAAUCCCCUGGACCUGUACUGACGCUCAUGCACGAAAGCGUGGGGAGCAAACAGGAUUAGAAACCCCGGUAGUCC
rnacentral:rRNA from 1 species